GGGACAGAUUGCCCCUUAGGACAGCGCCUCACCUUGCUGCAGCCGCUGUAGUUCUUUCUGAAGCUGUCUCUGCUCCCUGGCCAGCGAUUUCACGUGAUAGAGGCAGACGACCUCCAGCCUUUGCAGUCUCAGGGAAUGCUGCCUCCUCGAGCCAUGGGUACCAGUCCCUCUUGAAGAGGCCAAACGUGUUUGGAGAAUGAAGGAAGCUUGCCAACUUCCAGCUUUCCCCAGAGAAGCCUGCAGUGCCCCUCGUGUCCAUGGGAGCCAAGAAUGAAAGCAAAGAGUCCCUCACUGUUUGUCACAGUUCUCUUCUCUUGCACCUCUCCCCUCCCCUCUCCCACCCCCUCCCCCACCGUCAUUCUUCCCAUCUCCCACCCUCUCUCCUGCUUCUUGGAAACCAAAAGAAAGUACCAGGUCUCUCCA